rnacentral:rRNA from 1 species
CUCAAGCGUUGUUCGGAUUCAUUGGGCGUAAAGGGUGCGUAGGCGGCGAGGCAAGUCAGGUGUGAAAUCUCGGGGCUCAACUCCGAAACUGCACUUGAUACUGCCUUGCUAGAGUACUGGAGAGGAGAUUGGAAUUUACGGUGUAGCAGUGAAAUGCGUAGAUAUCGUAAGGAAGACCAGUGGCGAAGGCGAAUCUCUGGACAGUUACUGACGCUGAGGCACGAAGGCCAGGGGAGCAAACGGG